rnacentral:lncRNA from 1 species
UAAACUAAAUUUCUUGUCUUUAACUAAAAAAAUAAAAAAAAAUAGGGUUCAUCUCAUCCAAUAUAUGAAAGGAAUUAACUUAACAUGACGUUGGAAUUAAACACAUAAAAGAGGAAAGAGAUCACAAAAAAUUGACGAAACAUUAUAAAAUUUUCCAAUUUUCAGCCCAAUUUAGCCGCUGCCUUUAUUGAUAGAGAAGUCUAUUUCCAGUCUCUUUCGCAAUUUCUGUUGUCCGGGAUGUAUUAGUAUGCGUUCCAGCAGCAGCCACCAAAUUUCCUCCAGCCUUUCUUCUCUUAUUGCAUGUGUGUCUCUCCCAGCUGCCGUCUUUUAAGGUAUAUAUAAUCAAUUCCCCAAGACAGCCUUUUCCAUGUGUGUUUAAUCGUCAAUUUAUCCUUUUCUUUUUCAAUUGCUUCAAAACUGGUCGAACACUUAAACGAGCAAAAAUUAAUCUAAAUUAAAUAAAAUUCAAUAAUUUGACGACAUAAAGAUUUAAUAAAAUGAUCUAAUUAAGUAUACAAAUUGCACUCAUCACGCUUGUUGCAAUUAAUUCAUUAAUGAGGCAAGUAAGGUUUCAGAGCCUGCAAUUAAUUCAUUAAUGAGGAGAACUGAUAAUCUUUACCUAGAAGUGAAAUUGUGAAGGAAUCUUGUGAGUGAAAAGAUGAAUAUGGUUUCCCCGACUUUGAAGAAGUUGAAACUUUGAUUUUCUUCUGUGGAGUAUCUUAUUGACACCACAACCUUCACUCCAAGAGGUGCUUUCAAUAACUUGGAGCUCUGGGAUUUACGCAGCCCAAGUCAGCUGAUAGAGAUAUUCAGUGGAAAUCUUCCUCCCGGGUCCUUAACUAAAUUAGAAGAGGUAUAUCUAAAGGGCCUAACAGCAAUGAAAUUUUUGUGGAGCUGAAAG